rnacentral:lncRNA from 1 species
ACUGACUCAAUUGUAAUAUUUAAGUGUCGAAAACCUACCCCUAUCUCAUUCGUCUCUCUCAACCCUUUACCUCUCAGAAACUAAACGAAACCCUAAGUCACCGCCCUAAAAUCCUCUCCCUUUCCGGUGGCGGCGCCACCACCAAACCACCCCAAAUCAACACCCCAAACUCCCCUUCCUCCCAUCAUACCUAGUCCAUCGUUGUUUUCCUUCGAAUCUGCCCCGAGCUCCUCGAAUCUUAAAUCCGAGUUCAACCCCUAAAAGUUCAAAAUCAUUUUUAUCGAACCUGGUAGCGUGCAUGAUCAUGGAGGGACUAUUCUUUCGAGCUUUGAAGUUUGGAUUCAAUAAAACUGAAAUCGUUCAGUUGUUCUUGACAAAGAACAAGGGAUCGACAUUAGUUUUGUUAGGUCAUUUGUCUUCAGUAGGUUUCGAGUCCUGAUUUGGUAAGUUACCUUCCCCUCUUUUGUCUGUUCUUUCUUCUCCUUCCCUUUUCUUUGGUUUAAUUUUCUUCUACUAGUCUGGUUGAAACUCGACCAAUCCGCCAGGUUUAAACUAUCUUCUGUUCGUUGUUUUUUUUGUUUUCCUUUGUGAAAGUUUGUUCUCUGUUUCCUUAGUUGUGUUAUCAGCCCCGUUUAAAGUUCUGAUUUCAUAUCUUGUUUAGUCACCUAGUUAAUUUAAUUAGGGUUAUGUUAAUAACUUGGUUAAUUUCUUGCUUAUUUGUAAUCAGUUGAUUAGUGUAGGUUUUAAUUCUCGAAAUCAUUCAAGUGUUUGCCCUUUGUUUGUUGACUGAUUUGAUUUAGUUUAUCUAGUUGUUUGGGAUUUGAAGCCAUUUCAGACCUCACCCCAAGGGGGUUGAUUUAGGUCAUUGGGUCAGAAUUAAGCCCAAAUUUUGGUUUAGUUAUCGGGUCAAUUUGACCCAUUUGGGUUCCUAGAGUAAAAAACAGGGGUGUGAGGGGUAGUAUAGGAAAUUGGCCUAGGGAAUCUUUUGUAACUGACUGAGGGAAGCUUCCUGGAAGCUGGGGUGGGGACUAAUGUGAAAAUCUGAUUUUUGGCUAGGGGUUUUUAAGCUAAAACGAAAAUUAGAAAGGGGCAAAGUGCAAGCUAAGUCUGCCCUAGUAGCUUGCCUAUAAAGGCAUUCUAAACUUGCCUUUCAAGGCAGACCCAAGAGAGAACAAAAAAGCUAAAAAAUUCUGAAACUACACUAAUUUCCACCAAAUUUCUUUGAUAAAACUGAUCAAAUUUUGUAUUAGCUAGAGGUCUCUGAUCUUCUUCAUUAGUUAAAAUCUCUGAAAAUUUUCACAUCUUGCACCUGGGUUGGGAAGUGGUUUGAUUUUAGGUUUAAAGUCAGGGUUUCAAGCUGCUGCAAGGACACUGUUGCAUUGAUACUGCUGUGCUUUUGUUCUACUGUUUACUGCCUAUCUUCACUUCUUUUUCCUUUGCAAUUUCCAGGUAUGCCUUUGAGACUGUCAUGGAAUUGAAGCCUGACUGAAUUUGUGUAAAGAUCUGGAAACUUGAGUUGGAAUUUAAAUGAAAACACCAUCUCUUGUUGUAAUUACUACUAGAUUUGGUUAUCUUAUGUUAGUAAAUUCCCCAGUUCUAUAGUAACUUAAUUUUCUUUGCAUGUGUUGGUUUGCUUGUUCAUGCUAUUGGUUUAAGGCUGUGCUGGCUAUUUAGAAUAGAGGUUUAAAUUCAGAAUGUCGGCAUUGUAAUAAGGAUUGAGAUCUAUCAUAUGAGUGGAUUGUCAGACAUGCUGUAAUAGAAGGUUAUUUGAGUGUGUUAAGUUAGUGUUCGUAUAGUUUGAGGUCUUACUUUGCAAUUUGAAAAGUUUUACAGUAUUUCACAUAGUUAAAACUGCCAUUUAAAUGGUCUGAGUGGGCUUAAAUUUUCUAUGUUUUGUUGUGAGAAUAAUUUAGAAAUUAAUUGCAAGUAUGAGCCACUGUUGUUUGUUAUCAAUGCAUGGGAUGUUAGAAAUGUUUGGAGAGCUGAUAGCUUGUUGAGGCCUUGGUGUUGGAUAGGACUUGAUUUCGAGUCUUAAUUUCCAAUUUUGGGUUUUUGCAAGUCUUUGGUCCAUGGAAACUUAGAUUUCUGGGCCAUUUUCAAGAGAGGAUGGCACGUUGGAUGCAUUGGAUUUGUCUGCUGAGCCCAAUGGCUUGUAUGGUUGUUGUUGGACAUUUCACAUAGCAGACUUGAUUCAAACGCAUGCUGGAAAAAAUAAAAUCGGAAUUUUAGUUUAAUUAAUUUGUAUCAGUUGUUUAAAAUCAUAAUUCUAACUUGCUAAUUC